CCUGAACUGUAAAGAGGGAAUGAUGGUACUUUAUACAUCUUGCCUCACACUGUUGUAAUAAGGGUCCCAAUGAGAUAACAGAUUUUCCCUACAUAAUUAUUUUAGAACAGGGGACAACUUUUGGGGGCAAUCCUAAAAAAAGACUAAAUGAAUUAAUUCUUUCUUGCAGUUUCUCUCUGGCAUCUAUCUGGGGCUCUCAUUAGGGAUAAUACAUUCUCAUCUGAGCUGGGUUUGCCUUUCUGGCGUGAUAACAUUUUGGUGAGCUUUCUCAGGUAUCACAAGUUCAUAACCAUUGCUCAUUCUGUCUACAGCUUGAAAGAGGCCACAUAGGAUAUGCACAUCUGAUCCUCUCUUGCAUCAGAAAGAUAACUCAUGGCUUGCUGAGCUUGUAAAAAUAAACAGGAUUAGAUCCAGCAAGGAUUGGACAGAGAAGAUCUAAAUCUGAAGUUACUGGAGCCAGUGGCCCCAUGAUCACGAGGUCAUCUCUGGGAUCUGUCACUCAGGAGGAAAGCCAAGCUGCAGAGUCCUCAGCCAGUUUGGGUGGUAGCCAAGCCCCCAUGGAGUCUUAUUGGGCAGAAACAGAGAAAAGAAAGAAGAAAAAGAAAUGAAAAUAUCCUGAAAAUCCAACUUGAAAAUUGCCUAGGAAUGACCUGCACAACUUAAAAAACCAUAAAGAAAUCAGACAAAUCAUAAAGAAAAUCCAUGCAGUUUUAAUGGAAAUUGUGUUUGAAUUCAUUGGCUUAACAAAUUAAGAGUGUCAGAGUACUGGUCUUCAAAUCAAAUCAUCUGGGUUCUAGUCCUGGCUCCAGCACUUAGCUAGGUGACCUUGGGUUGUGCCACUUAGAUAAGUGAGCUUCAGCUUUGAGCUUCAGCUCCUCAUCUGAAAAGUUAGGAUGAUGAUAUCGUGUUACCUCUUCCAUAGAGUUGUUUCAAGGAAAACUCUGUAAAAUUUAAAGUAUGAUUACAUCAUUAUUAUUCUACUGUGGUAUAAUUCAGUGUGGUUUAGUAAAUAGGAUGUUAG
rnacentral:lncRNA from 1 species